CAGCUUUGGGCUGUGACUCAAAAGACAACAGCUCUGGGUUGUGACUCGGAAGGCAAACAUCUUUGGGCUAUGACUAGGAAGGGAAACAGCUCUGAGCUAUAACUCCAAAGGGAAACAUCUCUGGGCAGUGACUCAGAAGGGAAACAUCUCCAGAGAGUGACUCUGAAGGGGAACAACCACAGACAGGUAAACAGAGGUGGGCAGUGACUCAGAAGGGAAACAGAGCUGGGCAGUGACUCAGAAGGGAAACAGAGCUGGACAGUGACUCAGAAGGGAGACAGCUCCGGGAAGUGACUCGCAAGGGAAAAAGCUCCAGGUAGUGACUCAAAAGGGAAAUAGCUCAGGGCAGUGACUCAAAACAGAAACAGCUCCAGGCAGUGACUUGAAGGCAAAGCAGCUCUGGGCUCUGGGUUGUGACUCAAAAGGAAAACGGCCCUGAGCUGUAACUCGAAAGGAAAACAGCCCCAGGCUGUGACUUGAAAGGAGAACAUCUCCGAGCAGUGACUUGAAAGGAAAAGGUCUCUGAG
rnacentral:lncRNA from 1 species